UACGUAGGGUGCGAGCGUUGUUCGGAGUUAUUGGGCGUAAAGGGCGUGUAGGCGGCUCGAGAAGUCUGGUUUGAAAUGCACUGGCUCAACUGGUGCGCUGGGUCAGAAACUGGCGGGCUUGAGUUCAUGGGGAGGAGCUGGAAUUCCAGGUGUAGGGGUGAAAUCUGUAGAGAUCUGGAAGAACACCGGUAGCGAAGGCGGGCUCCUAUGGAUGGACUGACGCUGAGGCGCGAAAGCGUGGGGAGCAAAC
rnacentral:rRNA from 1 species